GAGGUUAAGCGACUAAGCGUACACGGUGGAUGCCCUGGCAGUCAGAGGCGAUGAAGGACGUGCUAAUCUGCGAUAAGCGCCGGUAAGGUGAUAUGAACCGUUAUAACCGGCGAUUUCCGAAUGGGGAAACCCAGUGUGACUCGUCACACUAUCAUUAACUGAAUCCAUAGGUUAAUGAGGCGAACCGGGGGAACUGAAACAUCUAAGUACCCCGAGGAAAAGAAAUCAACCGAGAUUCCCCCAGUAGCGGCGAGCGAACGGGGAGGAGCCCAGAGCCUGAAUCAGCAUGUGUGUUAGUGGAAGCGUCUGGAAAGGCGCGCGAUACAGGGUGACAGCCCCGUACACAAAAGCGCAUGUGCUGUGAGCUCGAUGAGUAGGGCGGGACACGUGGUAUCCUGUCUGAAUAUGGGGGGACCAUCCUCCAAGGCUAAAUACUCCUGACUGACCGAUAGUGAACCAGUACCGUGAGGGAAAGGCGAAAAGAACCCCGGCGAGGGGAGUGAAAAAGAACCUGAAACCGUGUACGUACAAGCAGUGGGAGCACCCUUUGGGGUGUGACUGCGUACCUUUUGUAUAAUGGGUCAGCGACUUAUAUUCUGUAGCAAGGUUAACCGAAUAGGGGAGCCGGAGGGAAACC
rnacentral:rRNA from 1 species